rfam:Gossypium arboreum cultivar AKA8401 contig_1125_13, whole genome shotgun sequence.
AAUAACCAAAUAUAACACUUGGGCUAAGAGUCAAGUUGGUAAUUUUUCUUACAUCUCCCCCUCCUGAAGCCUAGGUAUUGUAUACACCCAAAAAAACCGCCUUGAAUACUAGAAGAAAAGCACCAAUACAUAGAAAAAUUAAGUGAAUACCUAAAAUUAUGGUAAUUUUAUUUCUAUCUUUCCA